GAUGAAGAACGUAGCGAAAUGCGAUAAGUAAUGUGAAUUGCAGAAUUCAGUGAAUCAUCGAAUCUUUGAACGCACCUUGCGCCCUUUGGCUAUUCUGAAGGGCAUGCCUGUUUGAGUAUCAUGAACACCUCAACUCUCAUGGUUCGCCAUGAUGAGCUUGGACUUUGGGGGUCUUGCUGGCCUACGGUCGGCUCCUCUCAAAUGAAUCAGCUUGCCAGUGUUUGGUAGAGUCGCAGGUGUGAUAACUAUCUACGCUUGUGGUUUUCUGCCAGAUAACCUUCAGUGAUGGAGGUUCGCUGGAGCUUAUAAAUGUCUCUCCCCAGUGAGGACAGCUUUUUGAACGUUUGAUCUCACAUCAGGUAGGACUACCCGCUGAACUUAAGCAUAUCAAUAAGCGGAGGA
rnacentral:misc_RNA from 1 species